rnacentral:rRNA from 1 species
GACGAGGGGUCCUAGCGUUGUUCGGAAUUAUUGGGCGUAAAGCGAGUGUAGGUGGCCUGUUUAGUCAGAUGUGAAAGCCCUGGGCUCAACCCAGGAAGUGCAUUUGAUACUGGCGGGCUUGAGUAUGGGAGAGAAUAGUAGAAUUCCUGGUGUAGUGGUGAAAUACGUAGAUAUCAGGAGGAAUACCGGUGGCGAAGGCGGCUAUUUGGCCCAAUACUGACACUCAGACUCGAAAGCGUGGGGAGCAAACAGG